AGAAUAAAAUAAAGCUGCUAACUUUAAUUUUAGUGGUUAAAUUCCAUUAAUAUUUCU
rnacentral:tRNA from 1 species